GACGAACGCUGGCGGCGUGCUUAACACAUGCAAGUCGAACGGGCCUGUCUUCUUUUUUGGGGGUGGGUUGAGUGGCGAACGGGUGAGUAUCACGUGAGUAACCUGCCCUUCGGCCCUGGAUAACCGCUUGAAAGGGCGGCUAAUACGGGGUGGUCCAGUUGGUCCGCAUGGGCUGGUCGGGAUAGAUUCACUGUUUUUGGUGUUUCGGCGGGGGAUGGGCUCGCGGCCUAUCAGCUUGUUGGUGGGGUGAUGGCCUACCAAGGCGGUGACGGGUAGCCGGCCUGAGAGGGUGGGCGGCCACACUGGGACUGAGAUACGGCCCAGACUCCUGCGGGAGGCAGCAGUGGGGGGUAUUGCACAAUGGGCGGAAGCCUGAUGCAGCGACGUCGCGUGAGGGAUGGAGGCCUUCGGGUUGUGAACCUCUGUUUCCGGUGGUGAAGGCCCUGUCCGUGUGGUGGGGUUGACGGUAGCCGGGGAUGAAGCGCCGGCUAACUACGUG
rnacentral:rRNA from 1 species